AAAAGAUCAGACCUGAAAUCUCUCGCUUUUCUUCUAUAUUCGUCGUUUCCAACCCACGGAUAUGCACCUAUGCAUAAUUACAAUUCGAGCAGCGCCGCCGUCAGCAGCAUCAGCACCCGCAUCUCCAUCCUACCACCGCAGUCUCCUUCCAUAAUUUAUUCAACUGUUACACCUGGUUUGUAGUGUUCUAAUCCUCCCGAAGCUGUUGGGUUCGUUUAGUUUCAGUCGAAAACAUCGACUACGGACGAUUGUAAACCGGUGAUUUUGUGUUAACCGAGCUCAGUUCAGAAGAAGCUAUAGAGGAAAAAUCGAAUUCAUUCAGGAAUCAUCAAGAUCUAUAUGGCUGGGAUUUUAGACAAGAGGAUUAUGUCCCUGUUGGUUCCUAGUGAUAAUAACAUUUGGGAUUCACUGAGCUAGGUUUUUGUUGGCUGAUCCAUAUUAAAAAUGACCCAACAUUAUAAUGUUUUGUGGAGGGGGGUUGCUUCUUGGUGAUAUUAAAAAUGAUCCAACAUUAUAGGGUGUUAUACUUAGGUUGCAGUUUUAGUUUGGUUUUUACUUAGGCGUUGUUUGUUUUUUCUAGAGGCUAGAGGCAACAGGUCUGUAGUUUGCGAACUACAUCUGCAGACCUCUGUAAUAGAAAAGGUGAACCAAUUGUCGGGAUUUUGUAAGAAGAAAAUUGUUUGUUUUUUGAACGUGUGCAAACUGCUAAAAUAAACUGACAUUAAAUA